UACGAAGGGGGCUAGCGUUGCUCGGAAUCACUGGGCGUAAAGCGCACGUAGGCGGAUUGCUAAGUCAGGGGUGAAAUCCUGGAGCUCAAUUCCAGAACUGCCUUUGAUACUGGCGAUCUUGAGUCCGGGAGAGGUGAGUGGAACUGCGAGUGUAGAGGUGAAAUUCGUAGAUAUUCGCAAGAACACCAGUGGCGAAGGCGGCUCACUGGCCCGGUACUGACGCUGAGGUGCGAAAGCGUGGGGAGCAAACGGG
rnacentral:rRNA from 1 species